UGAGGGAAAGGCGAAAAGAACCCCGGCGAGGGGAGUGAAAAAGAACCUGAAACCGUGUACGUACAAGCAGUGGGAGCACAGGUUUACCUGUGUGACUGCGUACCUUUUGUAUAAUGGGUCAGCGACUUAUAUUCUGUAGCAAGGUUAACCGAAUAGGGGAGCCGGAGGGAAACCGAGUCUUAAUUGGGCGUUAAGUUGCAGGGUAUAGACCCGAAACCCGGUGAUCUAGCCAUGGGCAGGUUGAAGGUUGGGUAACACUAACUGGAGGACCGAACCGACUAAUGUUGAAAAAUUAGCGGAUGACCUGUGGCUGGGGGUGAAAGGCCAAUCAAACCGGGAGAUAGCUGGUUCUCCCCGAAAGCUAUUUAGGUAGCGCCUCGUGAAUUCAUCUCCGGGGGUAGAGCACUGUUUCGGCUAGGGGGCCAUCCCGGCUUACCAACCCGAUGCAAACUGCGAAUACCGGAGAAUGUUAUCACGGGAGACACACGGCGGGUGCUAACGUCCGUCGUGAAGAGGGAAACAACCCAGACCGCCAGCUAAGGUCCCAAAGUCAUGGUUAAGUGGGAAACGAUGUGGGAAGGCCCAGACAGCCAGGAUGUUGGCUUAGAAGCAGCCAUCAUUUAAAGAAAGCGUAAUAGCUCACUGGUCGAGUCGGCCUGCGCGGAAGAUGUAACGGGGCUAAACCAUGCACCGAAGCUGCGGCAG
rnacentral:rRNA from 1 species